rnacentral:lncRNA from 1 species
CUGAGAGUAGUUUAUGGCAAAUGCAGAUGAGGUGAAGGCUCAUAUUUAAAGCCCCCGUAACUGACUGCAGCCUCCUACUAUGACACAUUGUUCUUCUAGGGGACGUUCACACUCAUGGGAAAGAAUUCAAAAACGAAAAUAAAUCAUCCCAGUACAUGAAGGCAGAGAGGAAACCAGUAAAAGAAAGAGCGGGAAGAAAAGAGGACGGGAGGGGCUGCCGAUUUUCUGUCAGUGGCUGAUUUUCCCCAAGAGAGCGUGCCCUGAUUUACAAUUCAGGAUCAUAUGUUCGUUGAAGAAAUGAUUUGUCUGACCAGCCAGGGUUUCCUCUCAUUAAGUUUUCUUACAACGUAGUAAACUAAAGUAAAAUUUAGAAAACUGUGUUUGGAAAGUAGAACUAAAAAGUACCUGUGUAAUUGUACUCCUCCAAGUGCAUUUUUUUAAACUGAGAGAAAUAACUUAUUUUUCAACUAAGAAGAUGAAUAAUAAUUCUGUGGCUGUGAUCAGUAGUAUCCUUCUUCUUUAUGGAAUGCCAGACUUUAAACUACCUUAAACAUCUGAAGUCUCUUAUAAAUGUUAAAAGGCAAACUGAGCUCAGUGCAUCUCAAGCCACUCUCUUCCACGGCAGGAAAAGGGUGACAGAUACUCAUGAGUGAUGGCUGCAACUCUAGCUACUUCCCGUUUCUCAGUCAAUGAGCUAUUUACAUUGGCGGCUCCAUCUUCUUCCUCUUUGCAUUGAUUUUUGGUUGUUUUGUAGAGUCCUAAAUUGGGUCUGCUUGGGUUCUGAAACCAAUGAAGAAAACUGCAUCAGUAUUUCAUCUAAAAAAAAAAAAAGGAAAUAGAAUCUACAUCAAUAAACUGUGUGUUUCAUGACAUCGUAAAAUGCCUUUGCCUGAGGCAGAAUUGGAUGAAAAGCAGCAGGAUGUGGUUUUGUUAAAAAAUCAUGACCAGGCAGAUAGCAGUUUGGGAUAAUUUAGACCUAUUGUUUUUGUAUAUACAACAUUUUUAUGUUAGACUUGAGUUAGGAGCAAAGAAUUCUGGUUGAGUUCCAAAAUCACAAUAUUGGUGCAGUUUCUGGAGCCUUUGCCCCAAACUCAAUCCCUAGAAAGAAACUGACAAGAAGAGAAGCGUGUUUGACAGCUGGAAAGCUGCAACAGGGCAGAGAUUGUGCC